rnacentral:rRNA from 1 species
AACGAACGCUGGCGGCAGGCCUAACGCAUGCAAGUCGAACGCACCGCAAGGUGAGUGGCGCACGGGUGAGUAACACGUGGGAAUGUACCCUUUGGUUCGGAAUAACGUCUGGAAACGGACGCUAAUACCGGAUGAGCCCUGCGGGGGAAAGAUUUAUCGCCAAAGGAGCAGCCCGCGUCUGAUUAGCUAGUUGGUGGGGUAAAGGCCUACCAAGGCGACGAUCAGUAGCUGGUCUGAGAGGAUGAUCAGCCACACUGGGACUGAGACACGGCCCAGACUCCUACGGGAGGCAGCAGUGGGGAAUAUUGGACAAUGGGCGGAAGCCUGAUCCAGCCAUGCCGCGUGAGUGAUGAAGGCCUUCGGGUUGUAAAGCUCUUUCGCACGUGACGAUGAUGACGGUAGCGUGAGAAGAAGCCCCGGCUAACUUCGUGCCAGCCGCCGCGGUAAUAC